GACUCCGUAGCUCAGUUGGUAGAGCAAUUGACUCUUAAUCAAUGGGUCGAGGGUUCGAGCCCCUCCGGGGUCACUA
rnacentral:tRNA from 1 species